UACGGAGGGGGCUAGCGUUGUUCGGAAUUACUGGGCGUAAAGGGCUCGUAGGUGGCCAACUAAGUCAGACGUGAAAUCCCUCGGCUUAACCGGGGAACUGCGUCUGAUACUGGAUGGCUUGAGUUCGGGAGAGGGAUGCGGAAUUCCAGGUGUAGCGGUGAAAUGCGUAGAUAUCUGGAGGAACACCGGUGGCGAAGGCGGCAUCCUGGACCGACACUGACACUGAGGAGCGAAAGCCAGGGGAGCAAACGGG
rnacentral:rRNA from 1 species